UAGGGAAUCUUCCGCAAUGGGCGAAAGCCUGACGGAGCAACGCCGCGUGAGUGAUGAAGGUCUUCGGAUCGUAAAACUCUGUUAUUAGGGAAGAACAAAUGUGUAAGUAACUAUGCACGUCUUGACGGUACCUAAUCAGAAAGCCACGGCUAACUACGUGCCAGCAGCCGCGGUAAUACGUAGGUGGCAAGCGUUAUCCGGAAUUAUUGGGCGUAAAGCGCGCGUAGGCGGUUUUUUAAGUCUGAUGUGAAAGCCCACGGCUCAACCGUGGAGGGUCAUUGGAAACUGGAAAACUUGAGUGCAGAAGAGGAAAGUGGAAUUCCAUGGGUAGCGGUGAAAUGCGCAGAGAUAUGGGGGAACACCAGUGGCGAAGGCGACUUUCUGGUCUGUAACUGACGCUGAUGUGCGAAAGCGUGGGGAUCAAACAGG
rnacentral:rRNA from 1 species